CGCGUAGGCGGUCUGUUAAGUGUGAAGUGAAAUCUCCAGGGCUCAACCCGGAAACUGCUUCGCAUACUGGCAGACUUGAGGAAUGCAGAGGUUUGUGGAAUUCCUGGUGUAACGGUGAAAUGUGUUGAUAUCAGGAGGAACACCCAUGGCGAAGGCAGCAAACUGGGCAUUAUCUGACGCUGAGGCGCGAAAGCGUGGGUAGCAAACAGGAUUAGAUACCCUGGUAGUCCACGCCCUAAACGAUGGAUACUAGGCGUAAGAGGUAUCGACCCCUCUUGUGCCGCAGCUAACGCAUUAAGUAUCCCGCCUGGGGAGUACGGCCGCAAGGUUGAA
rnacentral:rRNA from 1 species